CGCACGCAGGCGGUCUGUCAAGUCGGAUGUGAAAUCCCCGGGCUCAACCUGGGAACUGCAUUCGAAACUGGCAGGCUAGAGUCUUGUAGAGGGGGGUAGAAUUCCAGGUGUAGCGGUGAAAUGCGUAGAGAUCUGGAGGAAUACCGGUGGCGAAGGCGGCCCCCUGGACAAAGACUGACGCUCAGGUGCGAAAGCGUGGGGAGCAAACAGGAUUAGAUACCCUGGUAGUCCACGCUGUAAACGAUGUCGAUUUGGAGGUUGUGCCCUUGAGGCGUGGCUUCCGGAGCUAACGCGUUAAAUCGACCGCCUGGGGAGUACGGCCGCAAGGUUAAAACUCAAAUGAAUUGACGGGGGCCCGCACAAGCGGUGGAGCAUGUGGUUUAAUUCGAUGCAACGCGAAGAACCUUACCUGGUCUUGACAUCCACAGAACUUUCCAGAGAUGGAUUGGUGCCUUCGGGA
rnacentral:rRNA from 2 species